CCUACGGGUGGCUGCAGUGGGGAAUAUUGGACAAUGGGCGAAAGCCUGAUCCAGCCAUGCCGCGUGUGUGAAGAAGGCCUUCGGGUUGUAAAGCACUUUCAGUGGGGAAGAAAGCCUUGGGGCUAAUACCCUCGAGGAAGGACAUCACCCACAGAAGAAGCACCGGCUAACUCCGUGCCAGCAGCCGCGGUAAUACGGAGGGUGCGAGCGUUAAUCGGAAUUACUGGGCGUAAAGCGCGCGUAGGCGGUCUGAUAAGCCGGUUGUGAAAGCCCCGGGCUCAACCUGGGAACGGCAUCCGGAACUGUCAGGCUAGAGGGCAGGAGAGGAAGGUAGAAUUCCCGGUGUAGCAGUGAAAUGCGUAGAGAUCGGGAGGAAUACCAGUGGCGAAGGCGGCCUUCUGGACUGACACUGACGCUGAGGUGCGAAAGCGUGGGUAGCAAACAGGAUUAGAUACCCCAGUAGUC
rnacentral:rRNA from 1 species